rnacentral:rRNA from 1 species
AAGUCGAACGAGACUUUUUAUUUGAUGCUUGCAUCUUUUAAAAAGUUGAGUGGCGAACGGGUGAGUAACACGUGGGUAACCUACCUUAAAGUGGGGGAUAACACUUGGAAACAGGUGCUAAUACCGCAUAACCAUCAAAACCGCCUGGUUUUGAUGUUAAAGAUGGUUCUGCUAUCGCUUUAAGAUGGACCCGCGGCGUAUUAGCUAGUUGGUGAGGUAACGGCUUACCAAGGCAAUGAUACGUAGCCGAACUGAGAGGUUGAUCGGCCACAUUGGGACUGAGACACGGCCCAAACUCCUACGGGAGGCAGCAGUAGGGAAUCUUCCACAAUGGACGAAAGUCUGAUGGAGCAACGCCGCGUGAGUGAAGAAGGUUUUCGGAUCGUAAAACUCUGUUGUCAGAGAAGAACGUGUGUGAGAGUAACUGUUCACGCAGUGACGGUAUCUGACCAGAAAGUCACGGCUAACUACGUGCCAGCAGCCGCGGUAAUACGUAGGUGGCAAGCGUUGUCCGGAUUUAUUGGGCGUAAAGGGAACGCAGGCGGUCUUUUAAGUCUGAUGUGAAAGCCUUCGGCUUAACCGAAGUCGGGCAUUGGAAACUGGGAGACUUGAGUGCAGAAGAGGAGAGUGGAACUCCAUGUGUAGCGGUGAAAUGCGUAGAUAUAUGGAAGAACACCAGUGGCGAAAGCGGCUCUCUGGUCUGUAACUGACGCUGAGGUUCGAAAGCGUGGGUAGCAAACAGGAUU